UGUUGUCGUUUGCCGUAAGACUACAGUUUUCUGUGUUAGAGUAAGUGUCUGUUUGGAUUUCCCGUUUCGCUUCCGAAUACCUAACUUAUAUUGAAGGUCGUUUUGGUUCAAUUCUUACAAGCGGGACUGUUAUGUCAUGAUAAAAAUCACUCGUCUAAGGACGGUUUCUUAUUAGUUGCCUUCGUCAGCACCAUCUUCAUCACAUGUGUCGAUCAUGGAGUGACAGGCGAUUGUGAUGGUCCUGAUGAAGCAAACAUGGAACCCCAACAUUGUACGGGGUAUGAGAUCGCAACGCAUCCAGUAUCGACAAUAGUCCAGUGCUUGGACGAAUGUCUCCGUCUUCCACACUGCGACAAAUUAAUUUUUACCGGGAAUGGAAGCGAAAGCUGUAAACUUUUGAGUACAGAUGGCAUCUCCACUGCUUUUGAUGCUCGAAACUUACCGCAGAUAACCGGUGCAUGCGCACCAACGGACAUGAAUAUUGUCCGACAGUUUCUUUUGGGAACCGAGGACUGCCCUCAGCCAACAUCCAAAAAGUCAAACUAUCCAGAUGAUCGAUGAGGAUGUAUGUCGCCAAGUGGUUGCCGAUCAUAUUGUCAAAAGUAGUAGUAGAAUUUAGCGCUCUUGUUGUUGUUGCUGCUCGUAGUUCCGUGUAACUGGAAUGUAACUGCUUAGCCAUGUAAGGUCUGGGACAAGACCAGGAUGAUGUAGAUUAAAGUGUCAAAAGUAAAACGUCACACGUUUUCUUUGACCCUUUACAGACUCCUAAGACUCUGAUUGUAAAAUUCUCCUCUGUAGCUGCUACACAUUUCCUUGUAAAUUGGUU